UACGAAGGGGGCUAGCGUUGCUCGGAAUCACUGGGCGUAAAGCGCACGUAGGCGGAUUGUUAAGUCAGGGGUGAAAUCCUGAAGCUCAACUCCAGAACUGCCUUUGAUACUGGCGAUCUCGAGUCCGGGAGAGGUGAGUGGAACUGCGAGUGUAGAGGUGAAAUUCGUAGAUAUUCGCAAGAACACCAGUGGCGAAGGCGGCUCACUGGCCCGGUACUGACGCUGAGGUGCGAAAGCGUGGGGAGCAAACAGG
rnacentral:rRNA from 1 species